rnacentral:rRNA from 1 species
CUUACGCAUGCAAGUCGAGCGAUGAGCUCCCUUCGGGGAGUACAUCAGCGGCAGACGGGUGAGUAACACGUAGAUAACCUGCCCUCAAGACGGGGACAACCGGUGGAAACAGCGGCUAAUACCCGAUAUGCUCACAGGAUCGGGAGAUCGAGUGAGGAAAGCGCCCCUUCGGGGGAGAGUGUUCGAGGAGGGAUCUGCGGCCCAUCAGCUAGUUGGUGAGGUAACGGCUCACCAAGGCGAAGACGGGUAGGGGGUGUGAGAGCAUGGCCCCCCACAAUGGGACUGAGACACGGCCCAUACUCCUACGGGAGGCAGCAGCGGGGAAUAUUGCGCAAUGGACGGAAGUCAGACGCAGCGACGCCGCGUGGGUGAGGAAGGCCUUCGGGUUGUAAAGCCCUUUUCAGGGGAGCGAGAAAGGACGGUACCCUUGGAAUAAGCGUCGGCUAACUACGUGCCAGCAGCCGCGGUAAGACGUAGGACGCAAGCGUUAUCCGGAUUUACUGGGCGUAAAGCGCCUGUAGGCGGUCAAGUAAGUCGGAUGUGAAAGCCCCGUGCUCAACGCGGGGAAGCCAUUCGAUACUGCGUGACUAGAGAACGGCAGAGGGAAACGGAAUUUCUGGUGUAGCGGUAAAAUGCGCAGAGAUCAGAAAGAACACCGAUGGCGAAGGCAGUUUCCUAGGCCGCAUCUGACGCUGAGAGGCGAAAGCUAGGGGAGCAAACAGGAUUAGAGACCCUGGUAGUCCUAGCUGUAAACGAUGGAUGCU